UUGUAGAUGUUAAAAGCAAGAGACAUGGGAGAGCAUCAUUCCUUUGAGAUUUUAUAAAUCAAACCAAGUUUGGAGUUGUCUGAUUUGGAGAGUCAUUAUUCUUGGUCUUCGCUCUUAGAGGCCACUGAUGAAGAACAGGCGGUGUUUGGGAUGAAUGCUGAUCAGAGAGGAGAAUCUUCUUUCCCCUAAACUGAUGCAGCGGUGGUUUUAAAGGAGGACGCUGCCCUGGAUGAUGUAGAAGAUGGGGCUUCUUCAUGACUACAUCAGUUAUGCUAAAGAGAUCAUGAAAAUUGACCGUGAUGCAUGAUCUGUAUUCAUGGACUAUGAAACAAACUGUAAGUGUAUAAUUUGUUAAAAAAAAAAAAGUUAAAUGCUUUUUCUGUGUUGUUUAGUAGAAGAGUUUACACUCUGUCAUUCAUACACCUGCUCACAUUCUUUCACACACACACACACACACACACACACACACACACACGCGUCUGUUAAAUGUUAUAAUAUCAAAGUUAAUGUUGUGAUUUAUUUGUGUACUGUCAUGCCAGAAUAGUUAGAAAAAAACCUAACUAAUUGUAAAUUUAUUGUAUGUGUUUUCGUAUAUUUUUAUACAAUAUAUACAAUUGAACAAAGUCCAAUUUGAUCUUAAGUUAUGUUCAUCAAAUGUUCAAUGCUUUGUUUAUGAACUCUGUAGCUGUUAAUGCCAUCCUUUUCUGCAUUUCUUUUAACAUGUUACUUUUUGACUUUUCUCUUGUUUUUAAUAAAUAUUUUCCUUUUGAUAAUUAUUAUUUGUGUGUAAAAGUGAUAUUUAAAAUGAACAACAUUUGUAGGUUUAAUGCCUAGCUCAAUUUGGGUUAAUUUUAACGUAGAAAUGCAUUGUUUCCCCACAUGGCUGCACUCUGCGAGUUUAUUUUCUGCCAGCAGGAGGCGCUAAGAGCGGGAGAGGUAGGUUUCUCCGGUAACGGCUGCAGAGCGGUGCUGAGCUCACAAACGCUGCCUUAUCAAGCACAUGCGAAAUGAUAUCGAACAUUUUCUAAAUACAGUAGUUUUCCUUCUGAAAUACAGUGAUAAAAAACACCCGCUCUGGUUUUUGAAACCCUGCAAUAUAGUCAUUUUAAACCAUAAAAAAUGGCAACCCAGCAGGCUGGGUUAAAUAUGAUUACCCAACUGGUUGGGUUAAAACAACCCAGCGCUGGGUUCGUCCCUUUUUGACCCAGCGCUGGGUUGUCAAAAUAACCCAAAUUGGGUUGUUUUCAACCCAGCAGUUUUUAGAGUGUAUCCAGUGAGGGGCAGUUGUGUGGACGAAAAUGCCUUGAUGUCAGAGGAGAAUGGGCAGAAUGGUUCGAGAUGGUAGAAAGGCAACAGUAACUCAAUGAAUCACUCAAUAGUUCCAACCAAGGUAUGCAGAAUACCAUCUCUGAACACACAACACUUUGAACCCUGAAACAGAUGGACUACAGCAGCAGAAGACCACACCGGGUGCUGUUCCUGUCUGCUACGAACAGGAAACAGAGGAUACAAUUCACACAGGCUCACCAAAAUUGGACAAUAAAACAUUGGA